GUAAAAAGGGAAUAAUGACAGAGUUUAUGAAUUGCAGACUUGGAGAAGAUUUCAAUGUACUUGGAAAAGCAGACAUCUGAAUGGAGAAAUGACAGGAUAACAAGCUUCCAGAGGCUACCCCAUCUUAUUGACUCAGGACCCCUUGCUCCAGCUUCAAAGUCACCAACAUCUGCUGGGCCCUUCUCAUGAUACAUCUACUUGGUUCUCUCUUCUGCCUGCCUCUUCCACUUAAAAAGAUCCUGAGGAUUGCACUUGAAGCCAAGAUAAUUUCUCAUCUCUAGAAUAGUUAAAGCUUGCAAAAUUCCUGAGACAUGUCUUCAGACAUCACUCUCCAGGACUGAGCCAGAUUGCUCUUGAAUGUCACCAAAAGCAGAGAAGAAUCUGCCAGCUGACCCAGCCUCAAACAGGGUUAUGGGUGGAUGUCAUCACUGUCAAUCAUUUCUGCCUCAGGAGAGGUGCUUGUGGACUAUUUGGAGGAAAAAGACAAACUUCUAAGAAAAAUUGAAUAAUAAGAAUAUUGUUGAACAAAGUCAUAAAGAAGAAUAUGCCUUCAAGGGUAACUGACUGCCAAAUGAGAGAUUCAGAGAAGGGAGAAGACAUCAGCCCCUGGCAGGGGCAGGAGAAGAAAGAGAGUUGUGAAUGGAGGAGAGGACUGACUCAGAGGUUGCAGACAAGGCGUGUUCACCUAACAGCAGGUCUCAGGCAUUUUUAAAACUCUCUGCCUCUUGGUCUCCUCACCAGUAAAACAGGAACUGUGCUAUCUACCUCCUGGGCUGCAGAUAGCAUUCAUGGGCACAGUGAACGCAAACACAUAUGUGGAGUAAGCCCUGGCAUAAAAAAGACGGAAAGAGAAAAAUCUUGCCCUCAAGAGCUACCACGUGAGGAAUCAGUAAAUCAU